UAUUUUACAAUGGGGGAAACCCUGAUGCAGCGACGCAGCGUGAGUGAAGAAGUAUUUCGGUAUGUAAAGCUCUAUCAGCAGGGAAGAAAAUGACGGUACCUGAUUAAGAAGCGCCGGCGAACUACGUGGCAGCAGCCGCGGUAAUACGUAGGGGGCAAGCGUUAUCCGGAUUUACUGGGUGUAAAGGGAGCGUAGACGGCAGCACAAGUCUGGAGUGAAAUGCCGGGGCUUAACCCCGGAACUGCUUUGGAAACUGUGCAGCUAGAGUGCAGGAGAGGUAAGUGGAAUUCCUAGUGUAGCGGUGAAAUGCGUAGAUAUUAGGAGGAACACCAGUGGCGAAGGCGGCUUACUGGGCUGUAACUGACGUUGAGGCUCGAAAGCGUGGGGAGCAAACAG
rnacentral:rRNA from 1 species